UUGACGCAAGCGAUUAAUAUUGACUCUUAACUGACGUUCCAACAAAUAUUCAUCAGUUCCCUUUUUACUCCAAUAUCUGAUCUGUCAGACUGGCGUUGUCGCUAUGUUUGUAAGCGACACUGUUCCAAAUGAAGAUUUUGCCGCUAAAAUCAUUGCUGCUGUUGCCAUUGGAUGGGCCCGUGGAGUGCUUGCAUAGUGAUCAUUGUUAAGUGCCUCCUAUUCAUCAUAUCUCAAGGUUCAAAGAAAAAGGCAAUAAUUCCUACUCAACACAAGAUGAGGUUGUGAAAUGUGACACCGUAUUUCACUGAAUCAGGUACAGAGGUGCAGAUCUGAAGAGGAUGAAAAAAUCCUGUUGAUAAAGCAAUAUUGCACAAAGAGUCUGAGUGCAUAUAUGUAAAAUAAAAAUGAUUAUUUUUUGUUUAAAUGAAAGAAAGUGUUAAAUUAUCUCAUUGCUCUCUAUAUGACCAGGCUUCCCAUUAAUCUGUUGUAUCAUGUUUCUAUCUCAACAAAAAAGUCUUCAGAUAGAAAUAAUCAAUUUGCUGGAAUAAACUGUGCAGCAUUUUGUGUACCUAUGGCAUUGGAUCGCAAAUUUAUUUUCACUAAAAGCUGCCACUGUCCCGUUUAUUAUCAUUCGAAUAGUGCCAUUGAAAUAUUUAUGAAGAUCUAGUUAUUUCAAU